rnacentral:rRNA from 1 species
GACGAACGCUGGCGGCGUGCUUAACACAUGCAAGUCGAACGCUGAAGCUCAGCUUGUGUUGGGGGGAUGAGUGGCGAACGGGUGAGUAACACGUGAGUAACCUGCCUCCUGCUGGGGGAUAACGCCCGGAAACGGGUGCUAAUACAUGAUAUUCACGGGUCUUCGCAUGGGGGUGGGUGGAAAGGGGUUUUCUGGGGGGGGAUGGUCGCGCGGCCUAUCAGCUUGUGGGAGGGGUUAUGGCCGACCAAGGCUUUGACGGGUAGGCGGCCUGAGAGGGUGAACGGUCACAUUGGCACUGAGCUACGGCCCAGACUACUACGCGGGGCAGAAGUGGGGACUAUUGCACCAUGCGCGAUAGACUGAUGCCGCGUCGCCGCGGAAGGGCUGGAGGCCUUCGAGUUGUGAACCUCUUUAGCUAAUGGUCAAGCCGAAACCAUCGUUGUGGUGAGGGUACUGGGUAAAGAAGCGCCGGCUAACUACGUG